rnacentral:rRNA from 1 species
UGCCAGCCGCCGCGGUAAUACGGAGGGUGCAAGCGUUAAUCGGAUUUACUGGGCGUAAAGGGUGCGUAGGUGGGACUGUAAGUCAGAUGUGAAAUUUCGGAGCUCAACUUCGAAGCUGCAUUUGAAACUACAGUUCUUGAGGAUGGACGGAGAAAGCGGAAUUCCAUGUGUAGCGGUGAAAUGCGUAGAUAUAUGGAAGAACACCUGUGGCGUAAGCGGCUUUCUAGUUUACUCCUGACACUGAGGCACGAAAGCGAGGGGAGCGAACAGGAUUAGAUA